rnacentral:rRNA from 1 species
GACGAACCGUGCGAACGUUGUUCGGAAUCACUGGGCUUAAAGGGUGCGUAGGCGGGCGAUCAAGUCAGGGGUGAAAUCCUCCAGCUUAACUGGAGAACUGCCUUUGAUACUGGUCAUCUUGAGUGAGGUAGGGGCGUGCGGAACUGAUGGUGGAGCGGUGAAAUGUGUUGAUAUCAUCAGGAACUCCGGUGGCGAAAGCGGCGCGCUGGACCUUUACUGACGCCGAGGCACGAAAGCCAGGGGAGCGAACGGG